UAAAACAGUAGGCAGAGGUGACUUUCUAGUUUAGGAGGAACUAGAGCAACGAGAGGGUGUUUUUAGUCGUGUGAUCCGGGACUGAACAAACAGUAAGGGAAAUAACGAUGCUUUCAGCGCAACUCGCAAUUAUCUUGGUGUGGAUGGUGAGCUAUGUUCUAGCAGGCUAUCUGUACGACAAUACUCUAUACUCUGGCUACAGAGAUCCCUACGAACCAGUAUACGGUCAUGGUAGGUCCUAUGGGUUUGGCUUUGGAGUAGGAUAUGGCUUUCAGCCCGAGGUUGCCGCAAACGACCCUGUUCUUCUUGGACACUACUAAUGCUUUACGGAAAAAUCCAGUUUUCUGGUCAGCAAGUUGACUACUGUUUCAGAGAAAACCAGAAUUUGCUAUGAAACUAAGUGUGGAUAAAUAUUUGAUGAAGU